AUGCGUUUUUCUUUAUUAAAUAGAGUGAUUCCAGGGAAAGGUUUCCAUAUAUAAUACAUGCAUAAUAUAUUAGAGGAACACCGAUAGUUUUUGUAACCGUGCGAAGCAGGGGCGGGUAGCUAAUUUAAAAUAUUAGAAGGA